UACGGGAGGCAGCAGUGGGGAAUUUUCCGCAAUGGGCGAAAGCCUGACGGAGCAACGCCGCGUGAAGGAUGAAGGCCCUCUGGGUUGUAAACUUCUUUUAUCUGGGACGAAAAAAGGGGAUUCUUCCUCACUUGACGGUACCAGAGGAAUAAGCACCGGCUAACUCCGUGCCAGCAGCCGCGGUAAUACGGAGGGUGCAAGCGUUAUCCGGAUCCACUGGGUUUAAAGGGUGCGUAGGUGGGCAGGUAAGUCAGUGGUGAAAUCUUCGAGCUUAACUCGGAAACUGCCAUUGAUACUAUUUGUCUUGAAUAUCCUGGAGGUGAGCGGAAUAUGUCAUGUAGCGGUGAAAUGCUUAGAUAUGACAUAGAACACCAAUUGCGAAGGCAGCUCACUACGGGAUGAUUGACGCUGAGGCACGAAAGCGUGGGGAUCAAACAGGAUUAGAUACCCUGGUAGUCCACGCCCUAAACGAUGGAUACUCGACAUAUGCGAUACACUGUAUGUGUCUGAGCGAAAGCAUUAAGUAUCCCACCUGGGAAGUACGACCGCAAGGUUGAAACUCAAAGGAAUUGACGGGGA
rnacentral:rRNA from 1 species